CAGAACUACGGCAGCGGGAUGCGGCCCCCGCCCAACUCGCUGGGCGGCCCCGGCAUGCCCACCAUGAACAUGGGCCCAGGAGGGCGAGCGCCGUGGCCAAACCCCAACACCAACUCUAUCGCGUACUCCUCCUCGUCACCCGGGAGCUACGUGGGCCCUCCAGGAGGCGGCGGCCCCCCCGGAACCCCCAUCAUGCCCAGCCCAGGAGGUGAAGUAUCCGC